GUAAACACAGGGAUUUUGCAAGUCAGGCUCCUGGCUGGAGUCCAGCUUUCAGCUGGGUCCAGGCUCUAGCCAGGGCCUGACUGCAUGAUGCUCAGUAG
rnacentral:pre_miRNA from 7 species